rnacentral:rRNA from 1 species
UACGGAGGGUGCGAGCGUUGUCCGGAAUUAUUGGGCGUAAAGAGCUCGUAGGUGGUUUGUUACGUCUGCUGUGAAAACCUAGGGCUUAACCCUGGGCCUGCAGUGGAUACGGGCAGACUAGAGGUAGGUAGGGGAGAAUGGAAUUCCCGGUGUAGCGGUGAAAUGCGCAGAUAUCGGGAGGAACACCGGUGGCGAAGGCGGUUCUCUGGGCCUUACCUGACACUGAGGAGCGAAAGGCGUGGGGAGCGAACAGG